GUAGCCAUAGCCAUGCUUUGUCCUCAACUCCGGUACUCUAAUACUAUGAGGGAAUGGCGCAAUAUCAACCUUGCAGAACAUCACUCUGCUCAUUACUACAAUAUCAACCAAUAAAUCCCUCCCCUCAUUUCACAAAUCAGCCUUGCAAGGGAGAAUCCAAAUUCAUGAAUAGAGUAUACACAACAUUCACCAAAUCUCUUCAUCACCAUUUUAGCAGACCAGCAAAAGAUCACGCCCAUUCAAGGUUCCAUUUUCAUUUUGAACUCUAUUACUUGCUUCGUCUGUACACGUGAAUAAGGCACCUCACAUUUUUUUUCUCUUUCUUUCAAAUAAUCAUCUCAUUCAUUCAUGCAUAUACAUAUUGUAUGCAUAUAUUCAUGUGUGCUGUAUGAAUACAGAUUUUCAUAAUAAAUAAGUUUAUAUUUUGACUUUUAAGAACAGACUAUGUUUCUAAAUAGUAUAUCUUUUAAAUUGAGAUUCAAAUCACCAAAGAAAAAUCAUAUCUUGCUGCCAUGAUGUGAACACAAAAAUUUGGGGGAACAGAGGAAUGUUGGUUGUGGGUGUAUGCUGUCACGGCGGUGGCUGAGAUAGAGGAGGAGUGAGAGGCGAGGCGGCGGCCUUGUCGCCGUUAUCUGCCGGAGACAGAGAGGAGCGAGGUCGGAGGUGGAGGUGCAGCUUAUAGCUGCGUCGUCGUUAGAUUUUAGUGAGAGAGUCUGGGGCUGGUAUCGACGGGUGGUAGCAACGGUUGCUACUGUUCGGCCUGGAUUGAAGGGAGUUCAGGCGGCGGCGGCUCACCGUUGUUGUCUACCGGAGGACAGAGGGAGAAGAGGGAGAUAAGGGAAGAGGCGGCAAGGCGGGAUCCUUGUUGAUGCAGUCGCCGGGGAAAGAGAGAGAGUCAAGGAAUGAGGGAGGUUGGGCUCGGCGGCGGCGGUGCCGCUGCUGUCCAGCCAAGGAUGGAGGGAAGUGGAGCGAGAGGGGGAUGUGGGUGUGGGUGUCUGUGUGCUGUGUGUUAACCGAGAUUGCGAGAGAGAGACAGAGACGAGGGAGAAGGGAGGUCGGAGAGAGAGGAAGCGGCGACCGACGGCUGGUCGCGGCGGCCGGAGUAAGGGAGAAGAGAAGAGAGGAGUGGGCAUUUUCUCGUCUGAGUGAGAGAGAAAGAGAUUGAGUGGACUUUGAGAGGAAGAGACAGCAGAUCCCCUUCUUCUUCAGCGUGAGGUAGAAGAAGAAGAAAAGGGUUUGAGCGUUGGGCUGGGCCUAUUUUUAUUAAUAAGAUGGGCCCUAUUGUUGUUUAAUUAACUUGGGCUGUGCUGAUUUUCAUUUAAAGGGCUGCACCAUUUUAUUUAAUUAAACUAUUAUUAGUUUAAUUAAUUAUUUUAAAGAUAAUUUACAUUAUUAUGUGCAUAUUUUAAGUAAUUACUUAUUAUAUGUUUAAGCAUGUCAUGAAAUUGCAUUAACUUUUUGCAAUAAAAGUAUUUAUGAUUUAAAUUAGUUUUCAUAAAUCCAAUUAUUAAAUAAAAUCAAGUAAGGAUAUUGUUGGUGUCAUUAACUCAAGAAUCGUAGUUUUCAAUUAUUUAUUUAUUAAAUUUUAAAAAUCGGCGUGAUGAAUCAUAGAAUGUUAAGAACCUUCACUAUGACUUAAGAUUAGUUCACGAGACCUAUUAAGGAUAGAAUUCUUGUAGGCUUUGUGGACCAAGGAGAUUAGCACUGCUUUCCCAAGACAAGUUUAUGUGAUUAUGAAUCUUCAGGCUUUGCCUAAUCAGGUGGGUUUACUUUCCAUGUAUAAAGUAUGAUUGAAUUAUUAAGCUCUAAAUGUUUCAAUGAAAUGCAAAUUAUUUAUUCAUUGAAAUGCAAACUGUUUAUCCAAUAAAAUGUUUAUGUGGACUCUAUUCUGUUUAAGGCUCGCCACAACGAAUCAAUUGAGGUUCUCUUAUGGCAUAACACGUUAUUUGAGAAUUGUAUAUACUCGUUAGCUGACUCGGUGGGUUGAUAUCCACCGGGCACUAACUAAGAGGCGUUAUAAGGGUGUUUGCUGGAUGUGUUCCAGAGCAUGUAAUGUAUUGCCUGCUUGGGUAGCGUCCCGAGGUCAAAUGAAACUUGUCUGGGUUACGUCCUCAGUUCAAGUAAAAGGGAUAAAUGGAUCCGACGGUGGCUAAAAGGUCCGGGAUCACAGCGAGUAACAGAAAAAAAGUGUGACAUGUGCGCACAAAUGAAAGAAAUGUUUUAACAUGCUUAGAAGUUCUUUCAAUUUAAAACCUUCUAAGUUAUGUCAAGUAUGAUUGGAUAAGCUGCUUUUAUAAAAAUAUGAAAUGUUUCAGAAAAUGCUUGCCCAUUGAGUACAUUAGUACUUAGCCCAAAAAUACUUUCAAAUGUUUUCAGGUUGGUUGGCUGGCCGGUGCUGACGGGAUGGAGCUGAGGCUAGGGUUCAAUUUCUAUUUGGACUUUCGUUGUAGCAAUAACUCUUAUUUGUCUUUUGUUUUCUCAACGUAAGACUUUCAUGUUAGAUUUAGAAUGACAUCUCCCAUCGAGCUUAAACACUUAACUCUUAGUUUUAUCUUAAUGAAUGUUGGUUAUCAGAAACACAAAACAAAACUUGUGAUCCAUAGGGGACUAGCC
rnacentral:lncRNA from 1 species